rnacentral:rRNA from 1 species
UACGUAGGGUGCGAGCGUUAAUCGGAAUUACUGGGCGUAAAGUGUGCGCAGGCGGCCGCGCAAGUCGAGUGUGAAAUCCCCGAGCUUAACUUGGGAAUUGCGCUCGAAACUACGUGGCUGGAGUGUGGCAGAGGAAGGUGGAAUUCCACGUGUAGCGGUGAAAUGCGCAGAUAUCGGGAAGAACACCCGUGGCGAAGGCGGCUCUCUGGGACGGUACUGACGCUGAGACGCGAAAGCGUGGGGAGCGAACAGG